GACGAACGCUGGCGGCGUGCCUAAUACAUGCAAGUCGAACGCAGUGGGGACGGGUGAGUAACACGUGGGUAACCUCCCAUCAGAGGGGAUAAAACUUGGAAACAGGUGCUAAACCGAUACGGAUGGAGGGACCCGCGGGGCAUUAGCUAGUUGGUGAGGUAACGGCUCACCAAGGCCACGAUGACUAGCCGACCUGAGAGGGUGAUCGGCCACACUGGGACUGAGACACGGCCCAGACUCCUACGGGAGGCAGCAGUAGGGAAUAUGCGGCAAUGGACGAAAGUCUGACCGAGCAAUGCCGCGUGAAUGAAGAAGGUUUUCGGAUUGUAAAACUCUGUUGUUAGAGAAGCGGUAUCUAACCAGAAAGCCACGGCUAACUCCGUGCCAGCAGCCGCGGUAAUUC
rnacentral:rRNA from 1 species